rnacentral:rRNA from 1 species
UGAGGAAUUUUGCGCAAUGGGAGCAAUCCUGACGCAGCAACGCCGCGUGAAGGACGAAGGCCUUCGGGUUGUAAACUUCUUUGAUCAGGGACGAAUAAAUGACGGUACCUGAAGAACAAGCCACGGCUAACUACGUGCCAGCAGCCGCGGUAAUACGGAGGGUGCAAGCGUUAUUCGGAAUUACUGGGCGUAAAGCGCGUGUAGGCGGUCCUGCAAGUCUGAUGUGAAAGCCCCGGGCUUAACCCGGGAAGUGCAUUGGAAACUGUGGGACUUGAGUACUGGAGAGGAUGGGGGAAUUCCCGGUGUAGAGGUGAAAUUCGUAGAGAUCGGGAGGAAUAUCAGUGGCGAAGGCGCCCAUCUGGACGGUAACUGACGCUGAGACGCGAAAGCGUGGGGAGCAAACA